rnacentral:rRNA from 1 species
CAGUCGCCGCGGUAAUACGGAGGGUGCAAGCGUUAAUCGGAAUUACUGGGCGUAAAGCGCACGCAGGCGGUUUGUUAAGUCAGAUGUGAAAUACCCGAGCUUAACUUGGGAACUGCAUUUGUGACUGGCAAGCUAGAGUGUGGCAGAGGGGGGUGGAAUUCCCGGAGUAGCGGUGAAAUGCGCAGAUACCGGGAGGAACGCCGAUGGCGAAGGCAGCCACCUGGUCCACUUCUGACGCUGAGGCGCGAAAGCGUGGGGAGCAAACAGGAUUAGAUACCCCUGUAGUCCCUGUCUCUUAUAC